rnacentral:rRNA from 1 species
AUCGAACGCUGGCGGCAGGCCUAACACAUGCAAGUCGAGCGGAUGAAGGGAGCUUGCUCCUGGAUUCAGCGGCGGACGGGUGAGAAAUGCCUAUGAAUCUGCCUGGUAGUGGGGGAUAAUGUCCGGAAACGGGCGCUAAUACUGCAUGCGACGUGAGGGAGCAAGUGGGGGGUCUUGGGACCUCAUGCUAUGUUAGGAGCUUAGGUGGGACUAGCUAGUUGGUGGGGUAAGGGCCUACCAAGGCGGGGAGCGGCAAAUGGUCUGAGAGGAUGAUCAGUGACCUUGGAAGUGAGACAGGGACGAGACUCCUGCGCUAGGCCGCAGAGGGAAAUAUUGCGCAAUGGAGGAGAGUCUGAUCCAGCGAAGCCGCGUGUGUCAAGACGGUCCUCGGAUUGUAAAGCGAUUUAAGUGGUAGGAAAGGGAAGUAAGUUAAUACCUUGCGAUAUUGACGGUACCAGCAGAAGAAGCACCGGCUAACUUCGUG